UACGUAGGGGGCCAGCGUUGUCCGGAAUCAUUGGGCGUAAAGCGCGCGUAGGCGGUCAAGUAAGUCCGGUGUGAAAGUCAAAGGCUCAACCUUUGAAUGCCGCUGGAAACUGCUUGACUUGAGUCCGGGAGGGGCGACUGGAAUUCCUGGUGUAGCGGUGGAAUGCGCAGAUAUCAGGAGGAACACCGAUGGCGAAGGCAGGUCACUGGGCCGCAACUGACGCUGAGGAGCGAAAGCAUGGGGAGCGAACAGG
rnacentral:rRNA from 1 species